rnacentral:rRNA from 1 species
UACGUAGGGCGCAAGCGUUAUCCGGAAUUAUUGGGCGUAAAGAGCUCGUAGGCGGUUUGUCGCGUCUGCCGUGAAAGUCCGGGGCUCAACUCCGGAUCUGCGGUGGGUACGGGCAGACUAGAGUGAUGUAGGGGAGACUGGAAUUCCUGGUGUAGCGGUGAAAUGCGCAGAUAUCAGGAGGAACACCGGUGGCGAAGGCGGGUCUCUGGGCAGUAACUGACGCUGAGGGGCGAAAGCGUGGGGAGCGAACAGG